rnacentral:misc_RNA from 1 species
AAGUCGUAACAAGGUUUCCGUAGGUGAACCUGCGGAAGGAUCAUUAAAAGAAUCUGCCUCACCCACAGAUAUCUUAUCACGUGUGAACUGUCUAGCUUGUCACCCGAGAUGGACACCUCAGAGAUCUCGGUCUUUGGGGGGGUCUGUCUUGGGGGUCAGCUUAUGCUACUGAUUGUGCCCCGAGAAUCUUUAAAAGACUAUAAAACUUUUAGCAAUGGAUCUCUAGGCUCCU